CUUUCCCACGCUGGUUCUGCCCUCAGUCCUUUUUCAGUCUCCUCCCUCUCUGCUGCAAAGGCAGUCCCUCUCUUUAUUCCCCUUCUUUCCGUUUCUGACUCCCUCACGUGUCUCUCUUUCCAUCUUUUUAUUUUUCCAUUUUCUGUCAUCCACGCCAGCUGCCAAAGGCAGCUGUUUUUUUAUUCUUUCUGCCUUUCUCACCUACUCUCCCUCUUCAUUUUGUCUAUAUCCACUACUCUUUCUUUAAUUGCUCAGUGCUUUUCCCUUUCUUCCCCGCUGACCAGUCCGUUUAUUUUCUACUUCUUCUUCUCACCAGCUGCAAAGGCAGCUUUCUUUUAUUCCCCUUAGCUGUCUCCUUUUAUUUUCAUUUAGUUUCUAGCAGCCCCAUAUAGCAGAAAAAUAAGUUCUUUCGAUCAUGUUACUCCUACAAACACAAUAUAUCAAAAGUAUCAUAAAUACUUAAAGCUUCCAACUAAAUUAGACAAGAAAAAAAAUAUAAAAUGAUGAAAUAUAUAGUUUAAAUAUUGGUUUAUCAUUUAGCGUCACAAUGGGUUAGCAAUAUUGUAAUUUAAAUUUGCUUUUGACGAAUUUAUUACAUAAAAUUUCACUUGUUCUAUUUUUAUUUUCUUUGCAUAACAAAUCCUAUAAACACAAAAAUAACGUAAAUAGCUCAAAAAUAUAAGGAACUAACCAAGAAAAGACGAGUGAAUUUAAAGUAAAAAUAUAUAUAAAUAUGAUCCGAUCAGAGGCCGAGAGCUCCUUGAGUGUACGGUUGUCCACCGCCAUGCCUUGAUCCUCUUCAAAUAUCCCUGCCGUGGCCUCCUCCUCUUCUUGUACGUUUUCUUCAAGGUCAGAUUCGGAAUUGGGUGGAUUGUGUUCUUGCUGGUUUCUCGCUCUUCUCAAAUUCCUCUCAAAGUCGUCGUCAAAGUCCAAGAUGUUUGCACGAACCGUUUGAGAGCUUCUAGUCAUAAACUAGUACCUAAGAAACAAGAAACAAAAUUAGGUCAGGAACUUAAACAAAAUCAGAAACAAAGUGAAAUAAAAGAAACAGAAACAAAAGACAAUCCAAGGGAUUAGCAAAUUUGCUAAUCCCCGGCAACGGCGCCAAAAAUUUGAUGCGAAAUAUAUUAAGCACACAAAUUAAACCCUCUUUUGACAAUUGUAGUAAAGUAUGUAAGUAGGGAUCGUUCUGGACCGGGGAUUAGGAGGGAUUGCUAAACACUUGGAAACUGACUUAAAAACUCAAAAACAAAGUUUAAAACACUAAACUAGACUCAAAGAAUGCAAAACUAAAGGUUAAAACACUUAAACAAACCUAAAACUCAAAACAGCAACCUAAUGACUCAAAACUGCCUAAAAACCACUUUAUGGGCAGUUUUGAGAACCUACAAGAACUUGGACGAAUUUGGGUGAAAACUUGAAUCAAAACACUUAGAAACACAAAUCAAAACACCUUCUAACUAAUCUAAGACUUCAAAAUAAAGGGGGGAUUUGUGUUGGACGAAAAUUGAAAACAAAACAGAAACUUUAAAACAAACAGAUUGUAAAACGUUUUUGGAUGAAAAUGAUGGAUAAAAGGCUAGUUAGGAGGUUCUUCUCCACACAUGACAUACUUGCAAACAAAACGAUUUUCAGUUGUUCUUCCAAUAAAUUAUGAAACUCAACACCCCAA
rnacentral:lncRNA from 1 species